CCGGCACGGGUGAGUAACACGUAUCCAACCUGCCGUCUACUCUUGGCCAGCCUUCUGAAAGGAAGAUUAAUCCAGGAUGGCAUCAUGAGUUCACAUGUCCGCAUGAUUAAAGGUAUUUUCCGGUAGACGAUGGGGAUGCGUUCCAUUAGAUAGUAGACGGGGUAACGGCCCACCUAGUCAACGAUGGAUAGGGGUUCUGAGAGGAAGGUCCCCCACAUUGGAACUGAGACACGGUCCAA
rnacentral:rRNA from 1 species